rnacentral:rRNA from 1 species
AUUGAACGCUGGCGGCAUGCUUUACACAUGCAAGUCGGACGGCAGCACAGAGAACCUUGCUUCUUGGGUGGCGAGUCGCGAACGGGUGAAUAAUAUAUCGGAACGUACCGAGUAAUUGGGGAUAACUAAUCGAAAGAUUAGCUAUUACCGCAUAUUCUCUGAGGAGGAUAGCAGGGGACCUUCGGACCUUGCGUUUUUCGAGCAGCCGAUAUCUCAUUAGCUAGUUGGUGGGGUAAAGGCCUACCAAGGCCACGAUCAGUAGCGGGUCUGAGAGGAUGAUCCGCCACACUGGGACUGAGACACGGCCCAGACUCCUACGGGAGGCAGCAGUAGGGAAUUUUGGGCAAUGGGCGAAAGCCUGAUCCAGCCAUGCCGCGUGUCUGAAGAAGGUCUUCGGAUUGUAAAGGACUUUUGUCAGGGAAGAAAAGGCUGUUGCUAAUAUCAAUAGCUGAUGACGGUACCUGAAGAAUAAGCACCGGCUAACUACGUG